rnacentral:rRNA from 1 species
UACGUAGGCGGAAAAUUAAGUCAGUAGUGAAAUCCCGCAGCUUAACUGUGGAACUGUUAUUGAUACUGGUUUUCUUGAAUAUAGUUGAGGUAGGCGGAAUGUGUAAUGUAGCGGUGAAAUGCUUAGAUAUUACACAGAACACCGAUUGCGAAGGCAGCUUACUAAGCUAUGAUUGACGCUGAGGUACGAAAGCGUGGGGAGCGAACAGGAUUAGAUACCCUGGUAGUACC